rnacentral:rRNA from 1 species
AUUGAACGCUGGCGGCAUGCCUUACACAUGCAAGUCGAACGGCAGCACGGGAGCAAUCCUGGUGGCGAGUGGCGAACGGGUGAGUAAUAUAUCGGAACGUGCCCAGUCGUGGGGGAUAACGCAGCGAAAGCUGUGCUAAUACCGCAUACGAUCUAUGGAUGAAAGCGGGGGAUCGCAAGACCUCGCGCGAUUGGAGCGGCCGAUAUCAGAUUAGCUAGUUGGUGGGGUAAAAGCUCACCAAGGCGACGAUCUGUAGCUGGUCUGAGAGGACGACCAGCCACACUGGAACUGAGACACGGUCCAGACUCCUACGGGAGGCAGCAGUGGGGAAUUUUGGACAAUGGGCGCAAGCCUGAUCCAGCAAUGCCGCGUGCAGGAUGAAGGCCUUCGGUUGGUUAACGU